UACGUAGGGGCAAGCGUUGUCCGGAUUUAUUGGGCGUAAAGAGCGUGUAGGCGGCCAUACAGGUCAGCUGUGAAAACUCGAGGCUCAACCUCGAGACGUCGGUUGAAACCGUAUGGCUAGAGUCCGGAAGAGGAGAGUGGAAUUCCCGGUGUAGCGGUGAAAUGCGCAGAUAUCGGGAGGAACAUCAGUGGCGAAGGCGGCUAUCUGGACCAACACUGACACUGAGGCACGAAAGCGUGGGUAGCAAACAGG
rnacentral:rRNA from 1 species